GAAUGCAUGGGGCAAAGGUGAUUAGCCUUCUGUUUCACCCAUGGGAGAGUACAUCAGCAACAGGGCUGAGGACAGGGGCAGCCAGAGCUGAUGUCAUUCUCACUGGGGGAGGAAGAGAGGUGACAGAGUGGAGGAGGUGAAUGGGGAAGGAACCAACACUCCAAGACUGUCUGGAGAGGAGAAAAAGGUCUCUGAGAACUUCCUAGAGCCUCGUGAGGUCAGAACGAUUGUUAUCCCAGUAUACAGAGAAGAAGAAGGCUCAGAGAGGUUCAGCAGGAAGCAGAGUAUGAAUAAAGAGCAGAAUGAUUCUGCCAGAGCUCCUCUCCCUCUGAGCUGGACAGUGAGGACUCCAGGAGCCGAGAGCCUUGUGGAAGUGAGAAGGGGGAGUCUUACUGAGCCAUGGACAUUUGAGCUCUAGGGCAGCCCCUACCCUCAGCCUGGGGAUACCCAACAAACGCUUCCAAGCCCUGAGACUCCAUGACUCGCUGGGAGUGUGGAAUUGAGUCUUAUUCUGUUGCCCAGGCUGGAGUGAAGUGGCGCGAUCUCGGCCCACUGCAACCUUCACCUCCCGAGUUCGAGCGAUUCUUGUGCCUCAGCCCCCGGAGUAGCUGGGACAAAAAUCUUUAACUGUGAUUAAAAACACAUAUAAAAUUUACCAUGUUAAUGAAUUUUAAGUAUACAGUUCAGUAGUG
rnacentral:lncRNA from 10 species